UCCUACGGGAGGCAGCAGUGGGGAAUAUUGCACAAUGGGCGCAAGCCUGAUGCAGCAACGCCGCGUGAGGGACGAAGGCCUUCGGGUUGUAAACCUCUUUUAGUAGGGAAGAAGCGACUGGGUUUUCCUGGGAGUGACGGUACCUGCAGAAAAAGCACCGGCUAACUACGUGCCAGCAGCCGCGGUAAUACGUAGGGUGCAAGCGUUGUCCGGAAUUAUUGGGCGUAAAGAGCUCGUAGGCGGUUUGUCGCGUCUGCUGUGAAAACCCGAGGCUCAACCUCGGGCCUGCAGUGGGUACGGGCAGACUAGAGUGCGGUAGGGGAGAUUGGAAUUCCUGGUGUAGCGGUGGAAUGCGCAGAUAUCAGGAGGAACACCAAUGGCGAAGGCAGAUCUCUGGGCCGUAACUGACGCUGAGGAGCGAAAGCAUGGGGAGCGAACAGGAUUAGAUACCCUGGUAGUCCAUGCCGUAAACGUUGGGAACUAGAUGUGGGGACCAUUCCACGGUCUCCGUGUCGCAGCUAACGCAUUAAGUUCCCCGCCUGGGGAGUACGGCCGCAAGGCUAAAACUCAAAGGAAUUGACGGGGGCCCGCACAAGCGGCGGAGCAUGCGGAUUAAUUCGAUGCAACGCGAAGAACCUUACCAAGGCUUGACAUAUACCGGAAACGGCUGGAAACAGUCGCCCCGCAAGGUCGGUAUACAGGUGGUGCAUGGUUGUCGUCAGCUCGUGUCGUGAGAUGUUGGGUUAAGUCCCGCAACGAGCGCAACCCUCGUCCUAUGUUGCCAGCACGUAAUGGUGGGAACUCAUGGGAUACUGCCGGGGUCAACUCGGAGGAAGGCGGGGAUGACGUCAAAUCAUCAUGCCCCUUAUGUCUUGGGCUUCACGCAUGCUACAAUGGCCGGUACAAAGGGCUGCGAUACCGCAAGGUGGAGCGAAUCCCAAAAAGCCGGUCUCAGUUCGGAUUGAGGUCUGCAACUCGACCUCAUGAAGUCGGAGUCGCUAGUAAUCGCAGAUCAGCAACGCUGCGGUGAAUACGUUCCCGGGCCUUGUACACACCGC
rnacentral:rRNA from 1 species